rnacentral:rRNA from 1 species
GACGAACGCUGGCGGCGUGCUUAACACAUGCAAGUCGAACGGAAAGGCCCUGCUUGCAGGGUACUCGAGUGGCGAACGGGUGAGUAACACGUGGGUGAUCUGCCCUGCACUUCGGGAUAAGCCUGGGAAACUGGGUCUAAUACCGGAUAGGAGCCAUUUUUAGUGUGAUGGUUGGACAGUUUUUUCGGUGUAGGAUGAGCUCGCGGCCUAUCAGCUUGUUGGUGGGGUAAUGGCCUACCAAGGCGGCGACGGGUAGCCGGCCUGAGAGGGUGGACGGCCACCUUGGGACUGAGAGACGGCCCAGGCGCCUACGGGAGGCAGCAGUGGGGAAGCUUGCACCAUGGGCGCAAGCCGGAUGCAGCGACGCCGCGUGGGGGAUGACGGCCUUCGGGUUGUAAACUCCUUUCGCUAGGGACGAAGCUUUUUGUGACGGUACCUAGAUAAGAAGCACCGGCUAACUACGUG